UGCAGUCGAACGGAAAGGCCCAGCUUGCUGGGUGCUCGAGUGGCGAACGGGUGAGUAACACGUGGGUGAUCUGCCUCUAACUUCGGGAUAAGCUUGGGAAACUGGGUCUAAUACCGGAUAGGACAAUCGUUUAGUGUCGGUUGUGGAAAGUUUUUUCGGUUAGGGAUGAGCCCGCGGCCUAUCAGCUUGUUGGUGGGGUAAUGGCCUACCAAGGCGUCGACGGGUAGCCGGCCUGAGAGGGUGGACGGCCACAUUGGGACUGAGAUACGGCCCAGACUCCUACGGGAGGCAGCAGUGGGGAAUAUUGCACAAUGGGCGCAAGCCUGAUGCAGCGACGCCGCGUGGGGGAUGACGGCCUUCGGGUUGUAAACCUCUUUCGACAGGGACGAAGCUUUGGUGACGGUACCUGUAUAAGAAGCACCGGCUAACUACGUGCCAGCAGCCGCGGUAAUACGUAGGGUGCGAGCGUUGUCCGGAAUUACUGGGCGUAAAGAGCUCGUAGGUGGUUUGUCGCGUCGUCUGUGAAAUUCCGGGGCUUAACUUCGGGCGUGCAGGCGAUACGGGCAUAACUUGAGUGCUGUAGGGGAGACUGGAAUUCCUGGUGUAGCGGUGGAAUGCGCAGAUAUCAGGAGGAACACCGAUGGCGAAGGCAGGUCUCUGGGCAGUAACUGACGCUGAGGAGCGAAAGCAUGGGGAGCGAAUAGGAUUAGAUACCCUGGUAGUCCAUGCCGUAAACGGUGGGCGCUAGGUGUAGGGGUCUUCCACGACUUCUGUGCCGUAGCUAACGCAUUAAGCGCCCCCCCUGGGGAGUACGGCCGC
rnacentral:rRNA from 1 species